rnacentral:misc_RNA from 1 species
AUUGUCCUGCUAAGAAAUUUACCACUUGGGAUUCAGAUCUUUUCCAAAUGUUGGGAUUAUGUUCUGUAAUUUAUUUGUCUGUUUCUUUUCCUGUUUGGAGUGCUAUGACCGAUGCUUAAUUUUGUCUCCUCUUAUCAAUGCCUUUUUUCAAUACAAACUAAAGUUUCUUUAAGCUAAACUGGCAGUUUUUCCAAUUAAAAAUAAGGAAUGCUUUUUCAAGUGCUCACUGCUGUAAUUACUUCAUUAAUGCAAUCAAAUAUGCCAUAUUUUUACUUUUUCCAUUUGAUAGGAGGGAACAGAUUGGUGAGUGGACCUUGCUGUAUUUUUCAAUGAUUUUGUCCCAAAUAUUUUUCGAGGCACUAAGGAUGUUUUGUGCUGUCCCAUUAUGCGAAGUCUACUCUUCUGUAUCUUGAUGAGCCAUCCAAGUGAUCAAAUGAAUUCAGACUUCAUGAAAUCUCUUUGAGCUCAUGUUAGUUGUGGUGGAUAUAGGUUUUCUUUUUCCUCCCCUCCUAAAUUACGUGCUGUUAAAAUGUUACAGG